GGAAUUGUCCGAGGAGUCCCGAUUGGUAGCGCAACCUGUCUCGUAGUGUUCAUUUUCAAUGGCUAUUAAACGCUGUAAAUCAAAAUGACAUCUUGUACUAAUGGAUGUCUUCAAUCGAAGAAGGUUCGGAAAUGAUAUUUCCACAUGCUUAAAAUAGGUUGGGAAGUUAUUUUUCAAGACCCCGAGGAAGUGUGAGGUGUAUGGAAUCAGCUGUGAAGGAUCUGGAAAGCAGGUGUUUUACCUCGCAGACGAAGCCAGUCACAUGGUAAAGGUGCAAAUGCUGUGGUCAGCCAGGUUCACCACUACCUCAACACAUAUGGUCUUGGCGAACAGCAUGCACACUUUCAGUGUGACUACUGUUGCGGCCAAAAUAAAAACAACAUAGUCAUCUGGUACCUUCUGUGGAGAGUUCUUGUAGGUUUACACAAAAUCAUCACACUAAGCUUUAUGUUGAUAAGACAUACAAAGUUUACACCAGAUUGGCACUUUGGCAUCUGGAAAUCAAAGUGGAGCGGAGCAUCCCGGUGUUGUGGAAUGCAGAGAAUUUAGUGACUCACCAGUAGUCAGAAUCACGCUCAGGAAGGUCUCGAAAGUGAAUGUUAAUGUGAGCUGUGACAACCUGCCAUUAGAAAUGUUUGCGAAAGGGCUUGAUCUGGACCAUCAGUGGUAUUUAUUUGAAAACAUUUUUUAAUUCUGUCGCAUAGAUGAACCAAAAACUUGACAUGUCCGAAACGCGCUACUGGUGAGCAACAAAAACAGACUAUGCCCCCCAAAAAAGAAAAUGCAUUAAGAUGCGCAUCUGAUCUUCUCUGAUGGUGCCACAUCAAUUACAUACAUCAUGUAUCAGUGUUUAUUUUGGCCAAGGUAUUGGAUGAUAUAUUUUCCCCCAAACAAUGCAAAAAAUCCUCUAUUCCUAGGAAAGCUAAAACAAGUAUACGAUUGCUAAAUGUGUCAGUUGAUACAGGUUUUGAAAUGUUCAAUGCAAACGUUUGUUGUUCUAAUUGCACAAGCUUGUUUUCAAGUUUUUUAUAUCUCAUAUUUACAAAACAAAAAUCAUUUUUUCCAUGUAACCAUGCAAUUGUUUUCACCUUAUGGACACAGACUGCCUUUCGGAAAAACUGGGAAAAAAUCGGUGUGAAUAUUGUAUUUAUUUAUGUUUUACAAUUAAAAUCCUAUAUGUUUGUUUGUUUGCUACAUUGUUUCCAUAGUAACAAAAACAAACAAUUUUUAUGUUUGAGUUAUUGUUUAUUUUGUCUAUUUUUCUCUAUCAGAAAUUAUGAUAAAUAAUGAUUAUUUCAUUUACUGAAACAUUUAGUAUCCAAGUGUACUUUCAACCAACACUUUUCAAUGCUGUGUUUUUCCAUUCUGUUGUGUUUGAGGUUACAUUACACUUAAAUACACAUGUAACUGAAUAAAAAAUGGAAAUUGUUCAUGGAACACACAAAUUAUUUAUUGUUAUUGUUUAACUAGUUACAAAACAGUGAAAUUAAUGUUGUGUUUGCCUUUAAACAAACACUUGAUUAAAAAUACAAUUCAUAGAUUUAUAAAAGGCGUGAUUGUGUGCUCUGGUGAUUAUUAACAUGUAGAUCGGUUACCAUAGCAACACAAAUGGUACAUUUUAAAUGUCCAUAAUGCUGUUGUCAGUUUAUUGCACUAUAAUUAUGUAUUUGACUAAAGGAAAGAUUAUUGUUUUAAUAAAACAAUGUGCUUGUUGUU